GAUGAACGCUGGCGGCGUGCCUAAUACAUGCAAGUCGAGCGAACGGACGAGAAGCUUGCUUCUCUGAUGUUAGCGGCGGACGGGUGAGUAACACGUGGAUAACCUACCUAUAAGACUGGGAUAACUUCGGGAAACCGGAGCUAAUACCGGAUAAUAUUUUGAACCGCAUGGUUCAAAAGUGAAAGACGGUCUUGCUGUCACUUAUAGAUGGAUCCGCGCUGCAUUAGCUAGUUGGUAAGGUAACGGCUUACCAAGGCAACGAUGCAUAGCCGACCUGAGAGGGUGAUCGGCCACACUGGAACUGAGACACGGUCCAGACUCCUACGGGAGGCAGCAGUAGGGAAUCUUCCGCAAUGGGCGAAAGCCUGACGGAGCAACGCCGCGUGAGUGAUGAAGGUCUUCGGAUCGUAAAACUCUGUUAUUAGGGAAGAACAUAUGUGUAAGUAACUGUGCACAUCUUGACGGUACCUAAUCAGAAAGCCACGGCUAACUACGUGCCAGCAGCCGCGGUAAUACGUAGGUGGCAAGCGUUAUCCGGAAUUAUUGGGCGUAAAGCGCGCGUAGGCGGUUUUUUAAGUCUGAUGUGAAAGCCCACGGCUCAACCGUGGAGGGUCAUUGGAAACUGGAAAACUUGAGUGCAGAAGAGGAAAGUGGAAUUCCAUGUGUAGCGGUGAAAUGCGCAGAGAUAUGGAGGAACACCAGUGGCGAAGGCGACUUUCUGGUCUGUAACUGACGCUGAUGUGCGAAAGCGUGGGGAUCAAACAGGAUUAGAUACCCUGGUAGUCCACGCCGUAAACGAUGAGUGCUAAGUGUUAGGGGGUUUCCGCCCCUUAGUGCUGCAGCUAACGCAUUAAGCACUCCGCCUGGGGAGUACGACCGCAAGGUUGAAACUCAAAGGAAUUGACGGGGACCCGCACAAGCGGUGGAGCAUGUGGUUUAAUUCGAAGCAACGCGAAGAACCUUACCAAAUCUUGACAUCCUUUGACAACUCUAGAGAUAGAGCCUUCCCCUUCGGGGGACAAAGUGACAGGUGGUGCAUGGUUGUCGUCCGCUCGUGUCGUGAGAUGUUGGGUUAAGUCCCGCAACGAGCGCAACCCUUAAGCUUAGUUGCCAUCAUUAAGUUGGGCACUCUAAGUUGACUGCCGGUGACAAACCGGAGGAAGGUGGGGAUGACGUCAAAUCAUCAUGCCCCUUAUGAUUUGGGCUACACACGUGCUACAAUGGACAAUACAAAGGGCAGCGAAACCGCGAGGUCAAGCAAAUCCCAUAAAGUUGUUCUCAGUUCGGAUUGUAGUCUGCAACUCGACUACAUGAAGCUGGAAUCGCUAGUAAUCGUAGAUCAGCAUGCUACGGUGAAUACGUUCCCGGGUCU
rnacentral:rRNA from 1 species